rnacentral:rRNA from 1 species
AAACAUCGCCUCUUGAACUUUAUAAGAGGUCCAGCCUGCCCAGUGACUCUGUUCAACGGCCGCGGUAUCCUAACCGUGCGAAGGUAGCGUAAUCACUUGUUCUUUAAAUGCGGACUAGUAUGAAUGGCAUCACGAAGGUUAUACUGUCUCCUCUCUCUAAUCAGUGAAACUAAUCCCCCCGUGAAGAAGCGGGGAUGAAAAUAUAAGACGAGAAGACCCUAUGGAGCUUUAAACAAAAUAGCACUCGCCACACAAAUAAAAAAUUCCAGAAUCAUUAAAUACUUCGGGCAAUCUGACUAUGCGUUUUUGGUUGGGGUGACCGCGGAGCAUAACACAACCUCCAUGUUGAAAGUAAUAAUUCUCUAAACUAAGAACUACGCCUCUAAGUAUCAAAAUAUUGACAUCCAUUGACCCAAUAAACUUGAACAACGAACCAAGUUACCCUAGGGAUAACAGCGCAAUCCACUUCAAGAGCUCCUAUCGACAAGUGGGUUUACGACCUCGAUGUUGGAUCAGGGUAUCCCAGUGGUGCAGCCGCUACUAAAGGUUCGUUUGUUCAACGAUUAAAACCCUACGUGAUCUGA